rfam:Sphaerobolus stellatus SS14 unplaced genomic scaffold SPHSTscaffold_757, whole genome shotgun sequence.
GGUUUAUUAGCUGUGUUGGUUAGAGCGUGGUACUAGUAAUGCUGAGGUCACGAGUUCGGCCCCUGUAUGAACCA